GAGGAGAAAAGACCUUAUAAUAUCGGGACACGAACGAGGGUAUGUGUGGUGGACAGGGGGGAGAGAGAGAGAGAGAGAGAGACACGUUUCUCUCUUUCUUGGUGGAUGUUUGUCUGUCCGUCCCCUUCGUCUCGUUCCUCCUUCUUCUUCACUCUACAGAAGGGGUUCGUUCGCGUCCCUCUACCUAGACUACUUCAACUACUACUCGCUAAUGUUCCACCUAUACUAGUUGCUGCCCUACGUCCUCAAGAAGCAGGUGAAGGUGCCUGGGUUUCUGUCAUAAAUGGUCCCACCACACACCUUCCACUCCCAACUUGAGUGUCUUCGAAUGGGGAUGUUUAGGGGAAGGUAACCGAAGUGGUUGUUCUAGAUAGUGGGGUUACAGCUACUCUACAGGCCAAGACAGACGAACCUACACUAGUUGGUCUGGACCUCGGGUUACAAGCUGGAACACUUAUAGAAACUCCACAAGGACGGGGUCGAAGAGGACAUGGGCUUGGGGAGCCUGGGGAACUUGCCGCUCCGCCGUAGCGACUACUACGCGCUGUUCUUACGGAUACUUUUAUUUCAGUUUCUUAUAACACUCUCUAUACGGUUCGGACUUCUGUAUAGGGGCCUCCUCCUCCUCCUCCUUCUCCUCUCGCUGCUCCUCGACUCGCUGCGGCUCCCGAUGCUGAGGCCGCUGCUCCGGUAGUACCCGGUGCGUCUGGGAAUUGACCACCUACCUACCUACGUACCUACCAAUCGAGUCAGUCAUUGAGUCAUUACCUCCUACUAGUACUACAUAGAGACAGACAGACAUGUAUCGACGCCGCGAGUGACUACUUACGGCGGUACCGUCUACGACUUCUUUCAGUAGUCGGUAGAGUUCAGUCGAGGUGAUCAAGUACACAGUAGCAGCAGCAGCGGCAGCACGAUCAGCGACACUUAUUGAACGGUAAACAAAUACAACCAAGGUAAACGUCAAGUACAAAGGUAACAUCCCCUACAUACAAGACAAGACAAGACAAAUAAGUAAAAGUCAAGUACAAUGACAGACAUUAAGACAAAGACAACUAUUAGUAGAGUAGAGUCCCCUUAAAUAUAGACGAGACGUUAAGGUUGACUUAGGUGUCAAGGUAGGAGUUCUUUUGUACAUGAUGAUGUCUCUAACGUAGGACGUAACGAUCCUACUUAAACUUAGUAGUCGUGUGUGUUCUUAACUGAACCUAUGUAAGUCUAAGGCACUCUACUCUAGGUAAGUCUAGGACUGCGCGACCUCGCGUCUCUG
rnacentral:rRNA from 1 species